GAUGAACGCUGACAGAAUGCUUAACACAUGCAAGUCAACUUGAAUUUGGGUUUUUAACUUAGGUUUGGGUGGCGGACGGGUGAGUAACGCGUAAAGAACUUGCCUCACAGCUAGGGACAACAUUUGGAAACGAAUGCUAAUACCUAAUAUUAUGAUAAUAGGGCAUCCUAUAAUUAUGAAAGCUAUAAGCGCUGUGAGAGAGCUUUGCGUCCCAUUAGCUAGUUGGAGAGGUAACGGCUCACCAAGGCGAUGAUGGGUAGCCGGCCUGAGAGGGUGAUCGGCCACAAGGGGACUGAGGCACGGCCCUUACUCCUACGGGAGGCAGCAGUGGGGAAUAUUGGACAAUGGACCAAGAGUCUGAUCCAGCAAUUCUGUGUGCACGAUGAAGUUUUUCGGAAUGUAAAGUGCUUUCAGUUGGGAAGAAAGAAAUGACGGUACCAACAGAAGAAGUGACGGCUAAAUACGUG
rnacentral:rRNA from 1 species